rnacentral:ncRNA from 1 species
AUAGGAGGUCUAAAGGGCAUACGGUGGAUGCCUUGGCUCUUGAGAGCGAUGAAGGACGCGGCGUGGCGGCGAUACGCUUCGGGGAGGUGCCUAGCAACCUUUGAUCCGGAGAUGUCCGAAUAGGGAAACCUUUCUGCUUUUGGCAGAAGUGUCAGUGUUAAUAGCUGACUCGCGCACCCAGGGAAGUGAAACAUCUCAGUACCUGGAGGAAGAGAAACCAAUAUGCCCAGCCGUAAUUUUGGUUCGUAGCAAUAUGGAUCAAAAUUACAGCUGGGCUUGGAAUUCCCCAAGUAGCGGCGAGCGAAACGGGAAAAGCCCAAACCGUGUGCGUAGCACACGAUGUUUAAAUGUUUUAAUAUUUAAAUGUCGCGCGCUGCGCGCGCGGGGUUGUAAGGAAGCGACGUCAUUUCUUCGGAAAUGAGGAAAGUUACAAAAUGGUGUGUUAGCAGAAACUGCUGGGAAGCAGUGCCCCAGAGGGUAAUAGCCCCGUACGUGAAAAUACACCGUCUUUCUUGUCGCUUUUCUUGAGUAACUCAGGACAUGAAUAGCCUGAGUGAAUCCGGGAGUACUAACUCCCAAGGCUAAAUAUCUCAAGAGACCGAUAGUGAACAAGUACCGUGAGGGAAAGGUGAAAAGCAGUCCGGAGAGGACAGUGAAAUAGACCUGAACCCGUAUGCCUACAAUGAGUUGCGGCGGCUAUAAGCCGUUGCAGCGUGCCUAUUGAAGAAUGAGCCGGCGAGUGUAUCGAACGCCUUUGUCUAAGGGGGAACCCCUGGAGGCGAAGUGAAAGCGAGCGUGAAUAGCGCGAUUUCGAGGCGUUUGAUACGACCCGAAGCUAGGUGAGCUUGCCAUGGACAGGGUGAACGGCGUCGAAAGACGCCGGGAGGCCCGAACCGGUUGGUCGUGCAAUUCCAUCGGAUGAUCUGUGGCAAGGAGUGAAAAGCUAAUCGAACCUAGUAAUAGCUGGUUCUCUCCGAAAUAGCUUUUGGGCUAGCGUCGCGUGUUUCCUUUGGGGGUAGAGCACUGGAAGGAUGGAACAGGGAGAAAUCUCGUCCGUCCUAUCAAACUCCGAAUACCAGAGGCCAGAGCGCGGCAGUUAGACUACGGGGGCUAAGCUCCGUUGGUCAAAAAGGGAAGAGCCUAGAUCUCCAGUUAAGGUCCCAAAAUUCAUGCUCAGUGCAUCUCAAGGAGGUAGAAAUUCUCUGACAAUGAGGAUGUUGGCUUAGNNNNNNNNNNNNNNNNNNNNNNNNNNNNNNNNNNNAUUCUCUGACAAUGAGGAUGUUGGCUUAGAAGCAGCCACCAUUCAAAGAAAGCGUAACAGCUCACUCAUCGAGAGUUUCCGCGCCGAAGAUAAUCGGGGCUUAAGCAUGAUACCGAAACUGAGGGCUCGUGAGUUUCAUUGAGGAAAAUUGUUCUUUGGAAAAGAGUGCGAGGCGGUAGCUCAGUGGGAGAGCGCCUAAGCGAAUGGUGUGGUCGAGAUCGGGUUGCGAAAGCGGCCCCACUUCGAUAAAUCCAUGCACCUGUGCCAGCACGGCAAUACAGGUCUUCGCAAGGGAGGUCGAAGGUUCAAUCCCUUCCCGCUUCACCACUCUUUUCAUCACCGCCUCUGGUCGGUAAAACCAGUCCUCAAUGAAACUCGCGAGCGGUAGGAGAGCGUUUCGUAUGCGAUGAAGGUAAAGGGGUGACCCAUGCUGGAGCGUACGGAAGUGAGAAUGCCGGCACAAGUAACCGCAAUGCGGGUGAGAGCCCCGCACGCCGAAAGACUAAGGUUUCCUUGGCGAUGUCAAUCAGCCAAGGGUUAGUCGGUCCUAAGCCGAUGGCGAACGCCGCAGGCGAUGGAUACACGGUUAAUAUUCCGUGACUUUUACGUGUUUCGAUGGGAGGACGGAGCGCAGUAUGCCGCGCGCAUUAUUGGAUUUGCGUCCACGUAGUCAAGGUUGCUCUUUUGGAAAAUCCGGAGAGCUGUCUUCAAUGACACUCCUAAGCUACGGGGAGAUUCCCGCUUCGGCGGGAUAAUGUGGCAAAGCGCGCUUCCAAGAAAAUUCCCUAAGAAUAAAUACGUAGAAACCGUACCGCAAACCGACACAGGUAGUCAGGUCGAGUAGACCAAGGCGAACGAGUGAGUAUUCCCCAAGGAACUCGGCAAAAAAGCAGCCGUAACUUCGGAAUAAGGCUUGCCUCUCGCAAGAGAGGCUGCAACAAAAGUAUCCCUGCCAACUGUUUAUCAAAAACACAGCUCCCUGCGAACUCGUAAGAGGAUGUAUAGGGGGUGACGCCUGACCAAUGCCAGAAGGUCAACUACGGCUGGUGUACGCAUCACACUGCGUGUGAUGCGGAAUUACGAAUAUCGAAUCACGAAUUACGAAUAGUGCGGAUGCAUUUCCUCGUAAUUCUUACUUCGUACUUCGUUAUUCUGACGACAUCGCGCUUGGCGUGAUGCGUAUGCUGAGCUGUAUAAGCCCUGGUGAAUGUCGGCCGUAACUAUAACGGUCCUAAGGUUUCCGGUUUAUCUUCGGAUGAAUCGGGAAGGACUAGGACUGUUGUAAACGAAAUUGAUAAAUAUAAGCUGCCUCACUGUGUAGUAAUACACAGAGGUCCUAAAAUACAUGGCCAUAUGCUGGAAGCGGUCGCCACCGUAAUCAGCAGGGAAGAUCCUAAGAGAAUUCGAAGGAAACCCUCAGAUACCAAACGCCAUGCCCCUAAAUCUCGAUUGAGAUCGGGUGAAGAUAUGGUACAGCGCAAAAUAGGAAGCGCUCAGCGAAAUUCCUUGUCUGGUAAGUUCAGACGUGCACGAAUGGCGUAAUGAGUGGG